GACGAACGCUGGCGGCGUGCCUAACACAUGCAAGUCGAGCGAGAAUUUCGCAGCGGAAUCCUUCGGGAGGAAGCAGUGAAAGGAAAGCGGCGGACGGGUGAGUAACGCGUGAGUAACCUGCCUUCAGGAGGGGGAUAACAUUCCGAAAGGGGUGCUAAUACCGCAUGACAUUGUUUUUCUGCAUGGAAGAACAAUCAAAGAUUUAUCGCCUGAAGAUGGACUCGCGUCUGAUUAGAUAGUUGGUGGGGUAAAGGCCUUACCAAGUCGACGAUCAGUAGCCGAACUGAGAGGUUGAUCGGCCACAUUGGGACUGAGACACGGCCCAGACUCCUACGGGAGGCAGCAGUGGGGGAUAUUGCGCAAUGGGGGGAACCCUGACGCAGCAACGCCGCGUGAAGGAAGAAGGUUUUCGGAUUGUAAACUCCUGUUGUUGAGGAAGAUAAUGACGGUACUCAACAAGGAAGUGACGGCUAACUACGUG
rnacentral:rRNA from 1 species